UGAGUCGACCCCUAAGGCGAGGCCGAAAGGCGUAGUCGAUGGGAAACAGGUUAAUAUUCCUGUACUUGGUGUUACUGCGAAGGGGGGACGGAGAAGGCUAUGUUGGCCGGGCGACGGUUGUCCCGGUUUAAGCGUGUAGGCUGGUUUUCCAGGCAAAUCCGGAAAAUCAAGGCUGAGGCGUGAUGACGAGGCACUACGGUGCUGAAGCAACAAAUGCCCUGCUUCCAGGAAAAGCCUCUAAGCAUCAGGUAACAUCAAAUCGUACCCCAAACCGACACAGGUGGUCAGGUAGAGAAUACCAAGGCGCUUGAGAGAACUCGGGUGAAGGAACUAGGCAAAAUGGUGCCGUAACUUCGGGAGAAGGCACGC
rnacentral:rRNA from 1 species